rnacentral:tRNA from 1 species
GAAUGCGAGUAAUGGUUGGUUUUGCAAAAGCUGAUUAGGGUUGUUGUGAUUGACCCCGUGUUUU